rnacentral:other from 1 species
UCCGAGCUGGGGUGUUCGUAGGAAGGACCAGAGGUUUCAUUCCUGAUUUGAUUAUCUCGGGGACUAGAAUUCGCGUUUCUAGCUGUCAGGCCGGCAUUGCGUUCGGAAGGCAAAAGGUUACCGUUCGGUUCCCACCUGCGAAGGAUAGAGGUAAGAAACAGGUCUGGAAUACGGCAUCUUGGCACUGUU